GCCGCCGCCACGGCCGUCGCUCGGGGGCCGCCGCAGGAAGCUCGGCCGCGGCGCCGCGGCGCUUCCAGAGUGAAGAUUUUGGGGAAAGUCCCUCAAAAGGAAUCCAAGAAUGAGAAAAUCGUCAUUUUGCAACUUGUAAUGAAACCAUGGAUUGAGGUCCCGCAGCAGCAGUUCACAUAGCGGAGAAAGAAAAUUGAAUGAACGUAAACCCAAAGGACCUAUCUGAUAAAUCUACACCUAAAUAGUUGCUAUCCAAAUUAUGCCUUCAUAAUUUUGCCAAAUGUACACACUUCAAGCAUGAGUUACUGAAGUCAUUAUCCACUUAGCGAUUAAAGCCACGUAGGGGGGUGGACUGGGAUCCUGGACUUUCUGCCAUUGGGGACAGGUAAAAAGCCCUGUGGACUGUGCUGUCAGCCACACUACGUGCCCCCAAAAUUGGGGAGGGACAUUUACUAUGUACUUUGUAUGUUUUAAAGCAUUUUGUUUCACAACAACCAAAGAAGGCAGAUAACUGCCUUGCAGAGGAGGAGACCAAGGUCAGGGAACUUGUCAAGGUUAUACAGCGAGUAAGUGGCAGAGUGGUAUUCAAACGUGAGCAACUUAACUACAGUAGAUUGCAUUAGUAGCUUUAAUUGUUCGUAUCUCUCUGCAUCCACACCCUUUGCCAAGUGACUUUGCAGUUCCUCUCACUAAAAGUAGAUUUUAGGGACGCCUGAGUGGCUCAGCGGUUGAGCAUCGGCCUUGGCUCAGGGUGUGAUCCCAGAGUCCCGGGAUCAAGCCCCGCAUCGGGCUCCCUGCGAGGAGCCUGCUUCUCUCUGCCCAUGUCUCUGCCUCUCUCCCUCUCAUGAAUAAACAAAAAUUUUUUAAAAAGUAGAUUUUAUUCCAGCCUCCCUUGUUUCUAGGUUGCACCAUAUAACUUGGUUUGGCCAAUGAGAUAUUAGUAGGUAGGACACAGAGGCUUGAAAACAACUUGUUCCUCUGCUAUGACCAAGAGAACAUGCCUGGGUUAGCCUGGUGAAGGACACAAGAAACAGCCCAACAAUGAUUGAUGGAGAUAAAUGUUGUGGCUCAGCCAACAGUCAGUCAAAUACAUUUGAUCACUCAAAUGAGUGAGCUCAGCCAAAGUCACAAGACCUGCCUAGCCAACUCCCAACUGACUGCAAAUACAUGAGUGAGCUCAGCCAAGAUUACCCAAGGCCUGAGUGGCUGAACUCCACAAACUUGGAAAAUAAAUGUUU